rnacentral:rRNA from 1 species
AACGAACGCUGGCGGCAUGCUUAACACAUGCAAGUCGAGCGAGAACUCCGGGUCUUUCCUCCGCUGACUGUGUCACCCGUCGGAACAUUCCCUUCUCUAUGGACUAGCUCUGGGAAACUGGUAGUAUUACCGUAUACGCCCUAUUAGGGAAGGAUUUAUUGAACAAGGAUCGUCCCGCGUUGGAUUAGGUUGUUGUUGGGGUAAUGGCUCACCAAGCCCCCGAUUCAUAGCUGGGUUGAGAGAAUGAUUAGCCACACUGGGACUGAGACCCGGCCCAGACUCCUACGGGAGGCAGCAGUGGGGAAUCUUAGACAAUGGGGGCAACCAUGAUCUAGCCAUGCCGCGUGAGUGAUGAAGGCAUUAGGGUUGUAAAGCGCUAUCAGCUGGGAAGAUAAUGACGGUACCAGCAGAAGAAGCCCCGGCUAACUACGUG